UACGAAGGGGGCUAGCGUUGUUCGGAUUUACUGGGCGUAAAGCGCACGUAGGCGGUUUGUUAAGUGAGAGGUGAAAUCCCAGAGCUCAACUCUGGAACUGCCUUUCAUACUGGCAAGCUAGAGUCCGGAAGGGGUAAGUGGAACUCCUAGUGUAGAGGUGGAAUUCGUAGAUAUUAGGAAGAACACCAGUGGCGAAGGCGGCUUACUGGUCCGGAACUGACGCUGAGGUGCGAAAGCGUGGGGAGCAAGCAGG
rnacentral:rRNA from 1 species